AAUAUCCAUGAUAACAAAUUUGUACCAUUCAAUUUGUCACGUAAUAUAGUUUUAUAAUAUACCUUUUCUAUGCCAUAAAUAUUAAUAAUUUUCUCUAUUAACUUAAUCAAAUUUGUAACUAUUUGGUUGGCUUUAAUUAAGCAUGCAAGUUUUUAUUACUUUUUGAACGGAGGGAUUAUGUCUUCCACCGAACUGCGAAUCAAAGUCGCAAAUGAGACUGCU
rnacentral:lncRNA from 1 species